ACGAACGCUGGCGGCGUGCUUAACACAUGCCAGUCGAACGGAAAGGCCUUGCUUUUGUGGGGUGCUCGAGUGGCGAACGGGUGAGUAACACGUGAGUAACCUGCCCUUGACUUUGGGAUAACUUCAGGAAACUGGGGCUAAUACCGGAUAGGAGCUCCUGCUGCAUGGUGGGGGUUGGAAAGUUUCGGCGGUUGGGGAUGGACUCGCGGCUUAUCAGCUUGUUGGUGGGGUAGUGGCUUACCAAGGCUUUGACGGGUAGCCGGCCUGAGAGGGUGACCGGCCACAUUGGGACUGAGAUACGGCCCAGACUCCUACGGGAGGCAGCAGUGGGGAAUAUUGCACAAUGGGCGGAAGCCUGAUGCAGCAACGCCGCGUGCGGGAUGACGGCCUUCGGGUUGUAAACCGCUUUCGCCUGUGACGAAGCGUGAGUGACGGUAAUGGGUAAAGAAGCACCGGCUAACUACGUG
rnacentral:rRNA from 1 species